rnacentral:ncRNA from 1 species
UAAUUACUACCACCAUAUUAUUAACCAUGUGUAUAAAUACAAUAUCAUGUAUCAUGGAGUUAUUCAGAAGAGCUGUCAAGCACAAGGAUACUUUUGUAAGGCAACUUUGUAUGUAUAGUAAUAUAUAUGCAAGAGAUGUAAAAAUCAAUUAAAGGGUAACGUGCAAAAUAAAAUCGCUUAAUAAUGUACUAGAGUUGUCGCAGCCAUAAUAGACGACACAGUGUGUAAUAAGCCUAUAAGUGUACUGUAGCAAGGUAUAACCAAUGUAGGUAAAGCUAUAAUAAGGCUGUUUCUCGUGAUGUGUAGUAAAAUACACUAUAAGACAUAACUAGGUUAAAGUAGCUCAAUCGAGAUAAUUACAGGAUAUUUAAAAGAUAUUAGCAAUUAUCUUACAAACAUCUGAAUGAUGGGUGAAAUUUAUGAGUAAUCAAUCUCAUAUGUGCAUUGACAAGGGUAAGAAGUAUUAGGUCGCUCCGAAAUACUCAGACUUACUUUCACAGUGACAGAAUAAUUAAGAAGAUAAUAUUUUGUAAGGCGAAGGUCUAAUAAUAUUAUAUAUCUAGA